rfam:Picea glauca, whole genome shotgun sequence.
GGGCAUUUUGUCUAGUGGUAUGAUUCUUGCUUUGGGUGCAAGAGGUCCCGAGUUCGAUUCUCGGAAUGCCCC